rnacentral:rRNA from 2 species
AGUUACGAUCAUACCAGCACUAAUGCUCCGGAUCCCAUCAGAACUCCACAGUUAAGCCUGCUUGGGCGAGAGUAGUACUAGGAUUGGUGACCUCCUGGGAAGUCCUCGUGUUGCACCUC